rnacentral:rRNA from 1 species
GAGACUCUGUGCGCGUGCAUAUCAAUAAGCGGAGGAAAAGAAACUAACAAGGAUUCCCCUAGUAACGGCGAGUGAAGCGGGAAGAGCUCAAAUUUGAAAUCUUAAAGGGUUUCCCUUUACGAAUUGUAGUUUAAAGAAGUGUUUUCUGUUGGAGUUUCGGUAAAAGUUCUUUGGAAUAGGACAUCAUAGAGGGUGAGAAUCCCGUAUUUGACCGUUACUUUCCAGCUGUGUGAUACACUUUCAAAGAGUCGGAUUGUUUGGGAAUGCAGUCCAAAAUGGGUGGUAAAUUUCAUCUAAAGCUAAAUAUUGGCGAGAGACCGAUAGCGAACAAGUACCGUGAGGGAAAGAUGAAAAGAACUUUGAAAAGAGAGUUAAACAGUACGUGAAAUCGUCAAAAGGGAAGCGUUUGACACCAGUGUUGUUUAGUUGAAAAUCAAUUAAAUAUUUUUCGAUUUUAAGUAGUAUUGACCUUAUCAGCUUGCUGCUUUUUUCUCGGAAAUUAUUUAAUGCACUUUUCAGUUAACAAGUCAACAUCAAUUUCUUUUGUUGUAAAAAGGUAAGAGGAAGGUGGCUCGCGCUUCGGCUCAAGUGUUUAUAGCCUUUUACCCCUGCAAUCGGAGAGAUUGAGGUCUGCAGCGUAGAUCCUUCGGGGUUAGAUACAUUUGUGCUAAGCUAUAGCCCUGUAUAGACAACUUGUUGACUAUGCUCAGUCAUGUAGCUUACUCGCUUAUGCUAUUUUACCUACGCUUAGGAUGUUGACAGCAGUAUAGACUGU